UACGUAGGUGGCUAGCGUUGUCCGGAUUUACUGGGCGUAAAGAGCGCGCAGGCGGUCGUUCAAGUCGAGUGUGAAAGCCCCCGGCUCAACUGGGGAGGGUCACUCGAUACUGAUCGACUCGAAGGCAGGAGAGGGAAGCGGAAUUCCCGGUGUAGUGGUGAAAUGCGUAGAUAUCGGGAGGAACACCGGUGGCGAAGGCGGCUUCCUGGACUCUAACUGACACUCAUGUUCGAAAGCGUGGGGAGCAAACAGG
rnacentral:rRNA from 1 species